CCUACGGGAGGCAGCAGUGGGGAAUAUUGCGCAAUGGGCGAAAGCCUGACGCAGCGACGCCGCGUGAGGGAUGAAGGUCUUCGGAUCGUAAACCUCUGUCAGCAGGGAAGAACGGUCACUGUGCUAAUCAGCAGUGAAUUGACGGUACCUGCAAAGGAAGCACCGGCUAACUCCGUGCCAGCAGCCGCGGUAAUACGGAGGGUGCGAGCGUUAAUCGGAAUUACUGGGCGUAAAGCGCUCGUAGGCGGUAUGUCAAGUCAAGGGUGAAAGUCCCGGGCUCAACGUGUGAACUGCCUUUGAAACUGGCAAACUUGAGUGCGUGAGAGGAUAGUGGAAUUCCAGGUGUAGGAGUGAAAUCCGUAGAUAUCAGGAGGAACACCAGUGGCGAAGGCGACUAUCUGGCACACCACUGACGCUGAGGAGCGAAAGCGUGGGUAGCAAACAGGAUUAGAUACCCUAGUAGUC
rnacentral:rRNA from 1 species